rnacentral:rRNA from 1 species
AGUAGCGGUGAAAUGCGUAGAUAUCUGGAGGAAUACCAAAGGCGAAGGCAGUCCCCUGGUCCGAUACUGACACUGAGGUACGAAAGCGUGGGGAGCAAACAGGAUUAGAUACCCUGGUAGUCCACGCCCUAAACGACGUCGAUUAGCCAUUGGAAGGACCCCUUUUCCUUUCAGUGACGUAGCUAACGCGUUAAAUCGACCGCCUGGGAAGUACGACCGCAAGGUUAAAACUCAAAGGAAUUGACGGGGACCUGAACAAGCGGUGAAUGAUGUGGAUUAAUUCGAUGCUACGCGAAGAACCUUACCUACCUUUGACAUGGCCAAAGUUCUACCGAGAGGCGGAAGUACUCGUAAGAGGAUUGGCGCACAGGUGCUGCAUGGUUGUCGUCAGUUCGUGUCGUGAGAUGUUGGGUUCAGUCCCGCAACGAACGCAACCCUUAUCUUUAAUUGCUCCUAUUUUAACAGGCACUUUAAAGAAACUGCCAAUGAUAAGUUGGAGGAAGGUGGGGAUCACGUCAAGUCCGCAUGGCCUUUAUAGGUAGGGCUUCACACGCCAUACAAUGGUUAGAACAAAGAGCUGCAAAUUCGUAAGAAGGAGCCAAUCUCACAAACCUAACCUCAGUUCGAAUUGCGGUCUGCAACUCGAGCGCAUGAAGCCGGAAUCGCUAGUAAUCGUGGAUCAGAAUGCCA